CUUGCCUGCUUUUGGACCUUGUCCUCUGACUUGCCCAUGGUUAGUAUUGCUGAUCUUCAGUGUAUGAUCUUCUGCUUUAACCCAUCUGGGUUUGUGGUCCUCCUCUAAGUCUGUACUCAGGUGAAAGUCAAGUCAGCAACUUGCACACUUUUAGUGCAUUAGUCCUCAAGGCAGCUCGGAAAUAACCCACAUGCUCCAGUUGAACACAGAUGCAAUAAAAGGAAAUUGUGGAUAAUAGGCUACUGCUGA